rnacentral:rRNA from 1 species
GUAGCGGCGAGUGAAGCGGCAAGAGCUCAGAUUUGAAAUCGUGCUAAUUUUUUUGGCACGAGUUGUAGAGUGUAGGCGGGAGUCUUUGUGGAGCACGGUGUCCAAGUCCCUUGGAACAGGGCGCCUGAGAGGGUGAGAGCCCCGUGGGGUGCCGUGCGAAGCUUUGAGGCCCUGCUGACGAGUCGAGUUGUUUGGGAAUGCAGCUCCAAGUGGGUGGUAAAUUCCAUCUAAGGCUAAAUACUGGCGAGAGACCGAUAGCGAACAAGUACUGUGAAGGAAAGAUGAAAAGCACUUUGAAAAGAGAGUGAAACAGCACGUGAAAUUGUUGAAAGGGAAGGGUAUUGGGCCCGACAUGGGGAGUGCGCACCGCUGUCUCUUGUAGGCGGCGCUCUGGGCGCUCUCUGGGCCAGCAUCGGUUCUUGCUGCGGGAGAAUGGGUGCCGGAAAGUGGCUCUUCGGAGUGUUAUAGCCGGCGCCAGAUACCGCGUGCGGGGACCGAGGACUGCGGCUUCUGUCUCGGAUGCUGGCACAACGGCGCAAUACCGCCCGUCUUGA